AUGCGGCGCAAGCUCGCCGGCGACGCGCCAGCGUCGGCUUCGGCCGGCGGCGGCUCAGUCCCGUCCGAAGCAGACCUGGCGCAGCUCUCCACCGCCAUCUCGGCGGGGGAGGACCUGGGCCCGUUUGUCCGGCGUGCGUUCGCCUGCGGGCGGCCGGAGCCGCUUCUAUCCUCGCUCCGCGCCGUCGCGCGGGACCGCGAGUCCGAGAUCGAGGAGCUCUGUCGCGCGCACUUCCACGACUUCAUCCGCGCCGUCGACGACCUCCGCUCUCUCCUCGCCGACGCCGAGGUGCUCAAGGGCUCCCUCUCCGCCUCCCACUCCGCACUCCUGUCAUCUUCAGCGCCGCUGCUUGCCUCGCUCGAGUCGUUCCUUGCCGCGCGAGCUCUCGCCGGGAACCUCUCAUCCGCUCUCGCCUCCUCCCACCGCUGCGUCCGCCUGCUCGCGCUCGCCGCUCGGGCUAAUGACCACCUCCAGGCCGGCAACCACAGUCUCUACCUCGCCCUCCGCGCCGUCGAUGCCAUUGAUCUCAACCUUGCCUCUGGCCCCGACCCGCUGCCUCUUCCUGCCCUUCGCCGCAUGCUGCUCAGCCUCGUACCCGCGGUGCGCGUCCACGCUGAGCGCGAGAUCUCCAGGGAGUUCGCCGACUGGAUGGUCAGCAUCCGGGCUGCUUCGCGGCACCUUGGACAGGUGGCCAUUGGCCGCUCAGCUGCGGCAAGGCAGCGCCAGGAGGAGCUCCGCUCCAAGCACCGCCCGCUGGAGGAGUCCAUCACCCUGGACGAUGACGGAGCUGGUGACCUCGACGACUUCGCUGCAGCCACGGCGACGUCUGAUGGGUCGGAUGGUGCCGCUGCAGCAUCGUUUGACCUCACACAGCUCUACCGUGCCAUGCACAUACACCAGACACUGGCGCUUGGGGAACGAUUCAAGAAGUACUACCUGGAGAACAGGAAGCUCCAGUUAACAUCCGACUUUGAUGUGAUUGCGGCAACACCAUUCCUCGAGUCUCAUCAGGUGUUCUUCGCGCAGAUUGCUGGAUUUUUUAUUGUCGAGGACCGUGUGUUUCGAACAGGGGGUGGACUUACAUCCCGGGUGGAUGUAGAUGCAUUGUGGGAGGCUGCAGUAGGAAAGAUGAUCUCCGUGCUGGAAGAUAACUUCUCUAGGAUGCAGACAGCAAACCACCUGCUUCUCAUAACUGAUUAUGCUGCCUUGCUUGCUGCCACAAUGAGGAGAUAUAGUUAUCCAGUUGGGAUGCUACUCGACGUGCUGGCUAAGCAUCGGGAUAAGUACCAUGACUUGCUGCUUGCUGAUUGCCGGAGACAGGUGGCAGAGGCACUGGCUGCAGAUAAGUUUGAUCAGAUGCUCAUGAGGAAGGAGUAUGAGUAUUCAAUGAAUGUGCUUGCUUUUGGGAUUCAGAGCUCUGAUAUAACACCGGCAUUCCCAUAUGUCGCGCCGUUUUCAUGCACUGUGCCAGAUAUUUGUCGUAUUGUGCGGUCAUUCAUUGAGGACUCGGUGAGCUUCAUGGCGCAUGGGGGCGGUGGUGACACAUAUGCAGCAGUGAAGAAGUACCUUGGUCGGAUACUCUCAGAGGUUGUGAAUGCUUCGAUACAGAAGCUUGUGGAUUCAGGCAGUGGUCUGAGUGUCUCUCAGGCAAUGCAGGUUGCUGCAAACAUGUCCAUAAUGGAGCGUGCGUGUGAGUUUUUUACACGCCAUGCAGCGCAAUUGUGUGGUGUGCCUCUACGCGCAGUAGAGCGUGGGCGGCGUGACUUUCCACUUCGCAAGUCUCGUGAUGCUGCAGAGGCGCUUCUGCUGCGGCUAUUGUGUUCUAAGGUUGACGAAUUCAUGCGGCAAUCUGAUGGUGUCAACUGGAUAGCUGAUGACCCACCUGCUGGGGGCAAUGAGUAUGCCAAUGAGGUCACUAUCUAUCUGGAGACUCUUACUUCAACUGCUCAACAGAUCCUUCCUCUUCCAGUGCUCCGUCGUGUUCUUGUCGCAGUUCUUGUGCAUAUCUCUGAGAGGAUUAUUGCCCUAUUCUUGAAUGACUCAGUGAAGCGGUUUAGUGCUAGCGCGGUCAUCGGUAUAGAUACUGAUCUUAAAAUGUUUGAGUCAUUCGCAGACAACAUGUCCAGCCUGUUCCUGGACUCUCAUCAGGAUUCUGCAGCAAGUGAAAUGAAGUCUGCACUGGUGGAGCCGAGGCAGCUGGUGAAUCUUCUUAUGAGUAACAGCCCAGAGAACUUCCUUAACCCAGUGAUCCGUGAGAAGAGCUACAAUAAGCUUGAUUACAAAAAGGUGGCAAUUAUCUCGGAGAAGUUCAGGGAUACCUCAGAGAGCUAUUUCUCGACAUUUGGAACUAGGGGUGCUAGGCAGAAUCCAAAGAAGAAAUCUCUGGAUACCCUUAUCAAGAGGCUUCGAGAAGCUAGCUAG
rnacentral:rRNA from 1 species